AUGGUGAAAAGAUUCUUGAUAUUUCCAUUGGCCCAAAAUGCACUAAGUCAUCCCCAAAUUCGAAGCAUUCAGCAAACAAUGGCAAGGCAGAGCCACCAGAAAUGUACACCUGAUUUCCAUGACAAAUAUGGUGACACUGUAUUAGCUAGUGGAGCCACUUUCUGUAUUGCUGUGUGGACAUAUACAGCAACACACAUUGGAAUGCAAUGGAACCUGUCCCCUGCUGGCAGAGUCAUCCCAAAGGAUUUGAGAGACCAGUAA